rnacentral:rRNA from 1 species
GAUGAACGCUAGCGGCAGGCCUAAUACAUGCAAGUCGAACGGUGUCUUCGGACAUAGUGGCGCACGGGUGCGUAACACGUAUGCAACCUACCUUACAUUGGGGGAUAGCCUUUCGAAAGGGAGAUUAAUACCGCAUAAGACAGUAGCUGGGCAUCCAGCAGCUGUUAAAGAUUUAUCGAUGUAAGCUGGGCAUGCGUCCAAUUAGCUAGUUGGUGAGGUAACGGCUCACCAAGGCAAUGAUUGGUAGGGGAACUGAGAGGUCAAUCCCCCACACUGGCACUGAGAUACGGGCCAGACGCCUACGGGAGGCAGCAGAAUGGAAUAUUGGGCAAUGGACGCAAGUCUGACCCAGCCAUGCCGCGUGCAGGAUGAAGGCGUUAUGCGUCGUAAACUGCUUUUAUACAGGAAGAAACGACUCUUGCGAGAGGCAUUGACGGUACUGUAUGAAUAAGCACCGGCUAACUCCGUGCCAGCCGCCGCCGUAAAAC